CGGAACGCCGCACCACUCCUCUGCUUUUAUUUUGAUGUGGUCGUCUCAGUUUUUAAAAUAAAAUUAGUUUAAUUAGACCGUUUAAUUAGGCAGUUGUUGUGUAAAUAAUAAGUGAUAAUGUGCUUCUACUACGUACCAGUGACUAUAUUGUGAUGUUCAGCUGUUAUACCAAAGAACCUGCAUUGUUUACACGAUAAAAUGCACACCUAAGCCAUGUCAGGCAGCAACUCGAAGCGGGCGGCGCGCGCGCGUCACUCGGGCUGGGAGGAGGCCGGGGGCGAGUUCUACCAGGAGCUGUAUCCGGGCGGGGAGCAGGAGCUCUUCGAGAACCUGCAGCGCGCCGACGCGGCCAAGCUGGCUACGCUGCUGCCCUCAAAACAGGCUAGGAACACGACCACAGUGAAGCGAGCGCGGUCACAGAAUGAGCGGCGCCAGUCAACCUACGCACGCACCACUCAAAGCCGCGACAUACACCUGUCUAUGCUGCCGGAUCUAUCAGAAAACCUGUCAAAUGAAGAACGCACGUGGGAAGAGAUCAUGCAGAUCAAAGCCAUGCCGGUGCCCAUGAUACAGAAGCGGGAACUCAAGGCGAGGCUACAGAACGCAACAAAACUCCGCUUGCAAGGUUUAGAACAACUGCAUUGGAAGCAACGUAAAGUAUGGCAUCGGUUUCGCAUCAGAUGUGGCGAAUUGUUAGGGAAAUUGGAGCUAUGGCAGUCCCCUAUGAGAGAAAUAGAGGGCUCCUUUGGAACCGGCGUGGUUUCCUACUUUCUUUUCCUCAGAUGGUUAUUAUUUCUAAACCUAGCUAUAUCAGUGUUCGUCAUACUAUUUCUAAUAGUCCCAAAUACAGUUUUAGUUGAAGAUAAACACGAUUGCAACGACUUCGAAUGGAAUUCCACCGUUUGCUGCUCUCAGACGUACUUCGAAAGGAAUCUGACGGAUUCAAAUGUGUUCUUAGACAUCAUACAAGGCACUGGUAUUAUGGAGCGAACGAUUUUAUUCUAUGGGGUGUACAGCAACCAAAUAUACUCGUAUUUCAUCAAAAGCUUCUUCGAAACUAAAAUGUUUUAUAACAUGCCUCUAGCGUAUAUACUCGUCCCGAUUUCGUGGGCGUUGCUAUCCUUGAUAGCUAUAGUCAAAACCGGAGCUAAAGGCUUCAAAGAAAAAUUGGUGGAAAGUGAAGGACAGUUCUAUAUGUACUGUAACCUGGUAUUUGGAGGCUGGGACUUCUGUAUCCAAAAUGAUAAAUCAGCUAAAAUCAAACACAAAGCUUUGUUCAAUGAAGUCAAAGGAUGCUUAGAAGAAGAAAGGUUCAAAGAAGAAAAGCAGUUACGGACGAGAGAAAGCCAAAUACUGCUGCAUUUGAGAAGAUUGCUAGUCAACAUCAUAGUUCUGAUCAUUUUGAUUGGUUCAGGGAUACUGAUUUACGUGGUGUUCAAUUAUUCCGUAGACAGACUCAACGUUGAAAACGAAUUCGACCCAUACGAAACGACAAACGAACUAGAUGACUAUGACACUUUGAACAGAACGUCCGAAAGACUGACUCUGAGCCAAUUAAGUCGCGAUAGGUCAGUUUCCUCAAGUUUAACUAGAGACAGCACGUUUUUUGAGCAAUUAGAAACAACGCUGCUAGAAUUCCUGCCCUUCAUAUCCAUUGUAGUCUUAAACAUAAUUGUGCCAGAAAUCUUCAGCUACUUAAUAAGCUUCGAGAACUAUGCCCCAGCUAACAUAAUCAUAGUGACGAUUCUAAGAACGGUUUUGCUCAGGCUUUCGUCUCUAGCUGUUCUUCUGAGUCAGAUAUACAUAUACAUUUACUCCAGCGGCCAAAUAUGCUCGAAAGGCAAUGAAGAUGCCAACCCAUUAGAUUGCUGGGAAACAUACGUAGGACAGCAGUUAUACAAGCUCAUAUUAACAGACUUCGCCCUACAAUUUGUGACUACGUUCCUUAUAAACCUACCCAGGGCUUUUAUAGCAAGGCACACGUCCAGUCGAUGCUUAAAAAUCAUAGGCGAACAAGACUUCUACUUGCCAAAGCAUGUUUUAGACAUCGUGUAUACGCAAACUAUUAUUUGGAUGGGAUCAUUCUUCUGUCCUUUUCUGCCCAUCAUAGGAACGGUUUAUUACUUCAUUGUUUUUUACGUCAAAAAGUUUACGUGUCUCACAAACUGCACGCCCUCUCCCGUUGUGUAUAAAGCGUCGAAAUCCAAGUCAUUAUUCAUGUCAGUUUUAUUACUAGGCUUCGUCAUAUCCAUAGCUCCUGUAGCGUAUUCAGUCGCAGAGUUGCUGCCUUCUAUAAACUGCGGGCCUUUUAGAGGCUAUAAUACUGUGUGGGACUACGUUAUAGAGACUUUUGAAAAGUUCCCGUACGUUUUGAGAGAGAUAGUCUUCCUUUUAGGUACAGCGGUCUUCGCUGUGCCUGCGUUCGCUGUUUUAUUAUUCUUUUUGUAUUAUUACUGGGCAGUGGCGACAGCUAAUAGGCAUAUGGUGACUGUUUUGAAGAACCAGCUAGUUUUGGAGGGCCAUGAUAAGCAAUUCUUGCUGAAUAGACUCAGUGCCUUCAUAAGGCAGCACCAGAAACGGUGUGAGAGAAGAAAUAGAGCUAGUUUCGCGGACGACGAUACUGCAUCCAUUAGGCAGAGCUCGAGGUAAGUUUUAGUAAUUAAAAAUAUCAGAACUGAUUUAAUCGAAAUUAAAUUUAGCCGCUAGCAAAUUACGUACGUAAUACGAUAUCCAUAAUUAUCCGCGCAAUGGUAUCAAUUACUAAACAGUACAUAAUAGUUACACGGUAAGGUAAAAUAGGGGUUUUUAUAUAAAAUAAUGUAAAACAAUAUUUGAACGUAAGAAAAAAUAUGUAAAUAUGUUCGUUUGAUAUGUCAAAGAAAAUCGGUUGAAAAUGUAUGUAAUAAGUAAAUGUUUUUGUAAAAUUAAAUUAUUUGGAAGAAUUCGCUUUGCGAGCAUUCGUUACGCAAGCAUUGUUACUCGAGUACUUUGCAAAUCAAAACGUGAAGAUUGACCAUUUGAUGAUAUGUGUGUACUACGAUUGACUCGAGUGAUGCACCCUGAGUUUUACAAGUCCCAAACUUGCCAAUUCAGUGAGAUCAUAAAAUAAUGAUCAAUAACUAUGAGACAAAAAUGUUUUAACUCAACUGUGUUGUUAGAACUUUUUUAGUUACAGAUUUUAGAUUAGACGAAUAGCCUAGCCACAAAAGCGAAAAUCGCUUGUCCAAUGAAACUCUUCGGCUCGCGAGCGAAUGUGCUCGUGUAACAAACGCUCGCGUAACAAAUGCUCGCAAGCCUCUUCCAGGCAGCUUCGGUUGUUAUUUAAUGUAAUAUUCUUCUCAUUUUGUAUCCAUCCAUUGUAGUAAGGAAUAUAACGUAUGCUUCCAAUUAGUAAAAUUAUAUUUUUAUUCGUUUUUGUUUUUUAUAUCACUGUAGUACAUUCCUUCAUGUAACUUAAUGUUAAUUUUAUUUUUGUUUAAAACUGUAUCCUUUUUGUUGUAGUUUUUUGAACGAGAAUUUGUGACCGUUACUACUAAAAAACUUUUGUCCUUUUCUGGAUAAAACAAUAUUUAUUUAAUCUUUUAGUAAAAUUAAUAAAUCCAUGACCCUGUUCCUGAUUUUUAGAAUACUCGAGCCAUAAUAUUUUGUUUUUAUCAUAACCAAUGACUUAGAAUUAAGUAGAAAAGGCAUUUGUGUAUUUUAGAAAAAAAUGUUUAUUUAUUUGCGGCUAUGCUUUUAGUAAUAUUGAAAUUUUAUGAAGAUUAAGCAUGUAGUUGGUACAACUAGUCAAUUGACAUAUUUAAUUUGAGCUGUCAAAACAUGACCGCCAUUUUUGUAUGGCAAGGGCAACUAAUGACGUCAUCAGUUUGCAAACCAACAUUAAUUGAUUUCAAAGCUGCUAAAAAUCUACAGCAUAUUAAAAACUAUCGGUUCCUAGGCUAAAAUAACGUUUGUUUGUUGUGUUUUUUUAAAGUUGUAUUUUGGAAUUUUUUGUCAUCUACCCAAUGUUUUUUCUUAUUUUUAAAUCUUAGAAAAUAGUAAAAAGUAAUUGUAAAACGUUCUUUGCCAACAAUAUAGUCCAAAUGCAUUACUCAUUAAGUAGUAGAUUUUUAUAAAAAGCUACCACACUAAGUUGAGAUUGUAAAUCUGUAAAUACAUAGCAUUUUGUAGUAAAAUAGUGCAUUUAGUGAUCUCAAAAUAUGUGCAAUCAUUCAUUAGAAUUUUACCAAUUAUGCUAACUUAAAAUGUUGUAAUAACGUUUUAAAAUAAACUUGCCACCCUGUAUUAAUCUAGGGACGUUUUGAAUCUAAACUGCAUACACAUUCGUAUAAAUUACCAUAUUUGUAUAAAAAAAAAGACAAAUAUUAUUUAAAAAAUUCAUGUUGUUUCCAGCAUUUUUGGGAAAUUCUAUGAAUAGAUUUAAAAAUAAAGAUAAGAAAUAUAUCUGUACAUUGGAUCGUUUUAUAUCAUAGUUGUAUUGUAUAGUCGGUAAAAUAUUUAUUUACUAUUAUG